rnacentral:rRNA from 1 species
AACGAACGCUGGCGGCGUGCCUAAUACAUGCAAGUAGGACGCAGUUGCGAACGGGUGAGUAACGCGUAGGUAACUACCUAUUAGAGGGGGCUAACUAUUGGCAACGAUAGCUAAUACCGCAUACUAGUAGAUGGACCUGCGUUGUAUUAGCUAGUAGGUAGGGUAAUGGCCUACCUAGGCAACGAUACAUAGCCGACCGUGGAGGGGGGUUGGCCAAACCUGGAAUGGGAAAAGGGCCAGAACCCUACCGGAGGCAGCCGUAGGGAAUCUUCGGCAAUGGGGGGAAACCUGACCGAGCAACGCCGCGGGAGUGAAGAAGGUUUUUGGAUCGGAAAGCUCUGUUGUUAAGGAAGCGGUACUUAACCAGAAAGGGACGGCUAACUACGUGCCAGCAGCCGCGGUAAUAC